ensembl:lncRNA
UUUUUUUUUUUUUUUUUAGAGAUGAGACACUUGAUUUUCAAGUGGUGCUUUGCAGGCUAUCGGCCAUUCAGUGACCUCUCACGUGUUCAGAGGUGGUCUAUCUUGGGCGUUCUGUGAGAGCCAGAGGGGAAGAUGCAGUGGUGCUUUCCUCUGGUGCCUGAGACCAUCUAAAAAUAACCUUGGUCCAGUCUCCCUCCCGCUGGCCCGUCUCGAAGGGGAGAGAGAAGGAAGAGAGAUCUGCAGCUACUGGCCUAUACCACAGUCAUGGCACCUCCAGAUUCCAGCACAUCUUCAACCUACAAUGCGGCUUGAGGCAAAGCUGGAUUCUUAACCCACUGAAUGAGGCCAGGGAUCAAACCUGCAUCCUCAUGGACACUACAUCAGUGGGUUCUUAACCCCGCUGAGCCACAAUAGGAACUCAACAAUAUCCUGACAAACAGUCUGGCUGCAAUGGAGCACUGGAGGCUUUGCUUCCUGAUCUUGGCCAACAAUAGUGAUGGCCACCAAAGCUUACUCUGUCUGGAGAGUCCCCUUCUCCAUAGGCUUAAGGCUCACCUCGACCAGGGGAGAGCUACACCUGCUCUUCCACCCUCAUUUUCUCAGCCAUGCUCCAAGCACUUUGACAUAUAUUACUCGACCUUCUGGUACAGCCAAAAGUCCCUAAGACUUCAGGGAAUCUUAGGUUUUAACCAUAAAGAUAAUCUCAGUGUUUGCAAACCUCUGACUUCCCCUCAUAGUAAAAAAAAAACUUCUCAUUGCAAUGUGGUAUACACAAAACUAUAUAAACAUAGACUUAACUGAAAAGGUUUUGGAAAAAAAUAUUUAGUCAUAUAAUAAGUACUACACCCUAAUAGUUUAUAUUUUAUUCUUUGUUUUUCUAAUGCUGAUCCCAACUCACUAGAUUGAUUUCAUGGUUCACUAAUGCACUGGGGCCUACAGCAGGAUCACUGAUCUACUUUGAUCUCUGUAUGUUAUAGAGCAAGAAACUGAAGUCAGGAAAGGUUAAGCAAUCUGGACAAGGCUGCAUGGCCACUGCCUGGUGGCAGAACCAGGACCAAAACCCAGGUAGCGAAAUCUUCUAACUUAGCUAAUUAUUAAUGAUAAACACUCUUCUUGCAAAACAAUGAGCAAAGGCUGUGCUCGUACUGAGAAGGGUAGAUGCUAUUACAAAACACAGAGUUUUUUUUUUGUUUGUUUGUUUUUUUAAUGGUGGGAAGUUAAAGUAACUCAAAGAAGAGCUAAAUAGAAUGUCAUCCCCCAAAUCCUCACGCACAUACCAUUUUCAGUGGCAAAUUCCAGUUUUCUAGAAGGCUAAGUCUUUUUUGUUUGUUUGAUACACACACACACACACACACACACACGUAUAUGUACAUACAUGUGUGUACAUAUACGUGUGUGUGUUUGUAUAUGGUGGAUUUGUUUGUUUUAUGAAUGUUUUUAAUUAUGUCUGCUACUUGGCUCCAAUUUCCUGGCUCAUGUUUACUUCCUCCCACUGAUAUCUAUAAUGCAAUACAAAAAAAAAAAAAAAAAAAAAAAAAAAAAAAAAAAAGAAAGAAAGAAAAAAACCUGAGCAACCAGUCCUUCCAAAGACCUUUAGUGAAGCCUGUUUGGUCAAAGAAGGGCCCGUGGACAUCUUUGUGAUCUUAGUCACCCUAGGGGACUCUACGGAGGACGAUGGAGGGUGGGCUACAGCUGGGAUAUAGAGCAUCUACUGACAGCAUGAGUCUAGAACAGCCUCAGAGAAGCUCUGCAACCUCACAGCCCAUCAUUCUUGACUGGUUCACCCUCAAGGGCUGCAAGCACAGUCACUGCCAUUGACUCCGACCUCAUUACCUCUCUAAGAGUAGUAUUUGCCUUGAGAUAAGUUAGUCUUUAAAAAUGAAGGCCUAAAUUUCAGCAACCAGCAUACUUUCCUUCACUAAGGCAUGUGUGCCUUCCUGUUCCACCUAUUUUUAUCCUUUUUUUUUAAAAAAAAAGCUUGCCCCAGCCAAAGCAAAUACUCUCUCUUUCUUAUUAGAGGUAAGAUUGGUCUCUAGUCUGUCCAGAAUACAGAACUAAGGAUACAACAUGCUGAUUUUGCCCAUGGCUUUUUUUUUUUUUUUUUUCCUCGUGGAUAUGGUACCUGUUCCCUGGUUCAUGUGCCAGCUGAUGAAAGCAGCAAUGACCUUUUCCAACAAUUGCCCUCUGUCUUUACACUGGCUUUCCGCACUUGACUGGGAGCCAUGAAGAUCGCCUUACGGGCACCUUCCAACCUAUGCCUGUGAAGUGGCAGCAAACCAGAAAAUGACACAGAAGGAAAGGGACACCGAGGAAGAGAUAUAGGUCCUUUGCGCUUGUGAAUGUGAAAAUGUCAUAGGUCCCUUCCGAGCAUACUCCAGCUGGAAGCACAAAAACGCUCUGGGGUAAACAUAUGGAGCACAUAUGCAGAAGCGCUGAACAUUAGGUAUGAAAAGUUAUCUACGUAAAAUUACCACAAAAAUUCCUGCUGUGAUCGUUAUGAAGUUACCUUGGAGUGUGGGUUUCUGGCUCACUUUCCAAGCUGUACAAUUUCAUAAAACCCCUAAGCAAUCUUACACCCUCUCCCCUUGGUCUCACCUCAACAUGGUGUAGUAAAUGUCAUGGCUCUUCCGAGCCCUAAAUGCGAGGAUAACUGUGUAAGAAAUGAUUCCUUUUUGGUGGGAUAGGAAGAAUAAAUCAGAGGGUUUGAUUAGAACCUUUCAAACUCAACUUUUAAAAAUUGGUAUGUUUCUGUACUUUCUGAAGACAGACAUCUUAAAUCGUGCUCAGGUUUGUUUUGGCAGGCACAUUGGUGACUCUCACAACGGGCAGGCUUCCAUAUCCGUAUUUAUGGCAAACAUGUCAGAAUAUAAUCCAUCCCAAUGUCUACAAAGGGAUCAACAUUUACAAGUUAUCAUUUCCCUCUCAAAUUGCUUGAUAUCUUUUCAAAGACAGACCCAGAAAUUGCCAUGAGAUGGAGAAUAAUCAAUACUCAGAAGAAAACAGAAUACUAGCAAUUAGAACUGACUAGAAGAAUAGUAUAUAUAAUCUUUGUUUCAUUUCUCAUCUCUCCUGGAGUGAUGUAAUGUAACACAGCCCAAUUCAAUACAAUCAAGGAGGUGGCAUUUCACAGGAUUGACAACUAGCAUGGUGGAGAGGGGGUUCCAUGAGCCAGAUUUGCUACUGAUGACACUAGCAAUUCAGUGACAUUAAAAAAAAAUUAUGUACCAUUUCCAAAAGGGAUAGUCACCUUUGAAGAAAUAAUAUUGCCUUUCCUUUGACUUUCAUGCUCCAGCUCAUCCCCAACAGAGAGAGGCAAGCAAAGAACUCACAUCCGUACAGUGAACACCACGCUUCCUUUAAUGUCAGUCCCAGGUGAAAUGAACCCAGCCAGGAAGAGGUAGACCAUCUCUCCAAUUUUACCAGUUGACAGCUCUCCAAAAAGCAGACUUGGGAUUGUUGCUAUUCCGUCGAAUUGGUCAUUGACAAACGGAUUGUGUCCAAAAAUUUCUCUUGUAUAUUUGGAAUCCAGAAUGUCAAGCACAGGUGCUCACUCAGCAAGAUAAAAAUGAGAGGUUUCCAGACCAGCCCACAGACCUCUCUUUCCUUCACAUUUAGCGGAUGGAUGAGGACAGACAAAGAAGGAUGGAGGAUUCAAAGAGCAGUCGUCAGCCUUAGGCAGAUGAUCUGUGGCACAAGAUCCAAAAACAAUCUCCUUAUGAUUUCUACCUCCUCCAGAAGGGAAGGAGGACAAGCGAGAGGAAGGAAUGACCAUAUCAGCCAUGGUCCAACCAAUAAACGGAAACCACUCUGAGGAGUUCCCGUCAUGCUUCAGUGGUUAAUGAACUUGACUAGUAUCCAUGAGGUUGCAGGUUCAAUCCCUGGCCUUGCUCAGUAGGUUAAGGAUCCUUCAUUGCUGUGAGAUGUGGUGUAGGUUGUAGAUGAAGCCUGGACCCCGCAUUGCUGUGGCUGUGGUGUAGGCUGGCAGCUACAGCUCCAGUUCAGCCCCUAGCCUGGAAACCUCCAUGUGCCAUGGGUGUGGCCCUAAAAAGACAAAAACAAAAAUAAAAAAAAGGAACCACUCUGAGUUUCUUGCUUUCUCAGGAGACCAAAGCACUGAGUAGCUGCUAGGAGGGGGCAAGGCAACUCAGAACACAACAGCAGCAGGAAGCUACUACCAUCCCUGGAAUGGAGGGUUAAAAAGAGGAGGUGAUGUUACCAGCAUCUAGAAACCAGAUCACCCAGUGGAAGCUGGAACCCCAGUGGGCUUAUCCAUGGGGAUGCUGGAACCACAAAGGAGUUGCCCUAGGUGGCAUCAGAGAAGAAUCUACGGAUUCAGGGCCGGACAGGAAAAACACCAUGGCUUCUCCCUUCCUUCCACCAUCCAGUUCCCAAUGGUGCCUUCCAUUGAUCAAACUCAGCCAGAAACCUAGGCAUGGAAUCCUGGGAAACUCAGCCUGUUGGGACCAGCCACCUGCCAUGCAGAGCAGGGAAGGGCAAGGAAUGGAUCUGAGGGUUGACAGGCCAGGUCCAGCACACUAGCCCAUUAACUAAAAAGAAGGAGAAAAAAAUCUAAUCCCAGUCCUAGCAGACUGAACAGGAAGGGGUUGGAAUGUCAUCAGCUCUGAGAACAAGGACCAUGUCUGAUGUACAUAACAAGCCCCGAUACAAUACAACAAAGAUAAUGCUAUAAGACAUCAGUACGAAAGAUGCCGCAGGAGAAACCAUGACACCUGCCACAUGAACAAUCAUGAGAGGGGAGAUGCCAGGUUGGCCUGGAAAUGACCAGAUUCUUGCCCAGAGAGAAGGAAAACCCGAAUGAAUGCCAGGCUUCCAGGGCAGAGCAGACACCAUUUAUGGAGACAAACAGGUGUUCUAGUUGGUCAAAGACCAGGUACCUUCAGUCAAAAGGUAAAUGAAACCUGGGGAAAGACACUGGACUCCCUGGUGGGGGAGGGGAGCUGGUGGGGGGACUCCUAGUCGGCCACACUGCAGGGGGUUUCAUGACUUAGUGCCAUCACGUUGUAAAGUUUGACAAUGAAUAGAAAGACAGAAGAAGGCAGCAGGGCGGCAGUUUUCCACAAAGGAUCUGGUUGGAAAACGGAGGAAAGAGACAGUGGAGACUAACCACCACCCGCCGACAACCUGCACAAUAAAUCCUCUGCCCGUCUCCAGUCUGCCCCCAACCCCCCACCCCGCAGGCUACAAGCUGUGGCCGGAAGGAACUGCACCCUCAUUUGUCUGAGUAGUUCUGGGGCCUUGAACACUGUCUGGCCCAGAGUCGAUGCUCAUUGCACAGCUGAUAAAUGAAUGAAUGGGCCGAGGUGGAACAGGACCGAGCAGAGCAGGGGAACCUGGGAGCACGCAUGGCAGACACACUUAAGUGAUGUGGCAGCGCGCUGGCCUGCUGGAAAACCCCAGCGGCAGCCAGCCCAGUGUGGGCAGCUGCAGUCAGAAAAUGAGAUGGUUCUUUCGAGCAAAUAUGCAGCGUCAUAAAUAGCACAGGCCUAUGCAAAUGACCACAGCUGCCCAGCAAAGGACUGGAGUGCUUUCAACACACAACACGUUCCUGCCCCGCCAUUUCUGCCCCGCUCUUCCGCAGCUCAGAGGGGGUGGCGGCUGCCACCCAGAAGGGAGACCCACUGAGUGGGGACAGGAUUGUCACCAUUGAGCUAAGGCUUUACGAGGCUGCCCCUAACGUUUGCCCCGAGGAGCCU